CGAAAGCCUGACGGAGCAACGCCGCGUGAGGGAUGGAGGCCUUUGGGCUGUAAACCUCUUUUCUCAAGGAAGAAGAUCUGACGGUACUUGAGGAAUAAGCCACGGCUAAUUCCGUGCCAGCAGCCGCGGUAAUACGGGAGUAGCAAGCGUUAUCCGGAAUUAUUGGGCGUAAAGCGUCCGCAGGCGGCCGUUUAAGUCUGUUGUUAAAUCGUGGAGCUCAACUCCAUCACGGCAAUGGAAACUGUUCGGCUUGAGUAUGGUAGGGGCAGAGGGAAUUUCCGGUGUAGCGGUGAAAUGCGUAGAUAUCGGGAAGAACACCAGUGGCGAAAGCGCUCUGCUGGGCCAUUACUGACGCUCAUGGACGAAAGCCAGGGGAGCGAAAGGGAUUAGAUACCCCUGUAGUCCUGGCCGUAAACGAUGAACACUAGAUGUUGGGGGAAUCGACCCCCUCGGUGUCGUAGCUAACGCGUUAAGUGUUCCGCCUGGGGAGUACGCACGCAAGUGUGAAACUCAAAGGAAUUGACGGGGGCCCGCACAAGCGGUGGAGUAUGUGGUUUAAUUCGAUGCAACGCGAAGAACCUUACCAAGGCUUGACAUCCUGCGAAUCUCUAAGAAAUUAGAGAGUGCCUUCGGGAACGCAGUGACAGGUGGUGCAUGGCUGUCGUCAGCUCGUGUCGUGAGAUGUUGGGUUAAGUCCCGCAACGAGCGCAACCCACGUUUUUAGUUGCCAGCAUUCAGUUGGGCACUCUAGAAAGACUGCCGGUGACAAACCGGAGGAAGGUGUGGACGACGUCAAGUCAUCAUGCCCCUUACGCCUUGGGCUACACACGUACUACAAUGCUGCGGACAAAGAGUAGCGAUCUUGCGAAAGUUAGCUAAUCUCAUAAACCGUGGCUCAGUUCAGAUCGUAGGCUGCAACUCGCCUACGUGAAGGAGGAAUCGCUAGUAAUCGCAGGUCAGCAUACUGCGGUGAAUACGUUCCCGGGCCUUGUACACACCGCCCGUCACACCAUGGAAGUUGGCCAUGCCCGAAGUCGUUACUCUAACCUUUUGGAAGAGGGCGCCGAAGGCAGGGCUAAUGACUGGGGUGAAGUCGUAACAAGGUAGCCGUAGCGGAAGCUGCGGCUGGAUCACCUCCUAA
rnacentral:rRNA from 1 species